GCUAAUCCCAGGUAGACAAAGUAUAAACUGCACUUUUCAACUUCACUCAGGAAAUUCCCUUGAUUUUGCUGGGUCUUACCAUGGCCCAAGCUGUUCAUUAAGCGGCUGGCAAAUACCAGUAGGCAGUUGGUUGACAAGCCAUCUCCAAUAGCUCCAAUAGUGCCCAGAAGUAUAAGUAACAUAUCAACCCAAUCUGCAAAUCUGAAGAUUAUGGCUAUGGACUUGCUAUCUUCCCUUUUCAUCAU
rnacentral:misc_RNA from 1 species